ensembl:lncRNA
CGGGGAAUCCCGGCUUACCUGCUCCGGACACCGAACCUACCUCCUCCAUGGAAGCGUCCCCGCCGCUGCGGUAAACGCAGCGGCCUGCGGGUGAGGCUCAAGGCCUACCUGGCGACCACGUCCUCAGCGUCGUUCUCGUCCUGGACAAGACGAGGCACGUUGUUUUCCUUUAGCGUGCUCCAGCACUUCCUGGACCCUGUCGCCUCCUGCCUGGUGCCCGUCGCCUGCCUGGAUGAGAGAUCGCUGCCACUUCGCCCCUGCUCUCCUCGGCUUCGCCAGCGCGGAUUAAACCUCUGGAACCUGGCGACACUGCAGCGAGGCGCCCGAAUCCCCGAUGCACUCGUCGCUCCCCCCGCCAGAAUUGGCCUGGUGAAUGCCAGAUCACUGGCAAACAAAGCUUUUAUUUUGAGGGACUUUUUCUGCUCCCGGAGCCUGGACUUCCUCUGUGUGACAGAGACAUGGAUCAGCGAUGGAUGACCUUCACUAUGCCAGUGUCCAGUUCUCCAACAACCAGGAAGUCUCUUUACUCCAACAUCAUGUCGGCUCAACCCCAGACAUUCGUGGAGAAAGAGGAGGAAGGUGUUGUCUACUCUGCUGUCAAAUUUAACAGUGGCAGCAGGUGAGCAGCUCUUCAGACUUUGUGAUUGAAAUGACUUGGCUUUUAGUCAAAGAGCUGUGUUAGUGUUGCAUGUGCUUGUUGUCGUUCUACUGGUUUUCCAAGAUACUGUUUAAUAUCCACAAUAUUCUCACCUGGUUGUUUUAUUUCCCUCUCGGAACCAGAAGUCAGGAAACUGGAGAAGAUGCAGCUGCUUUGUAUAGCACAGUCAAGAAAACCUGCUGAAAACAAGAUGAAUCUGCAGCCUGGAGUUUAGAAUAAUCAGUUUGUUUAUUGAAGCAGGUAACCAGUGAUUUGAUGUAUUGCUGAGGCCAGACCUGUCUGAGAAGGCAUCACUGAGAAAACAUUUAAACAACAAUGUAAAUAGAAGUUUGACAUUUUCAAAUGAAAAUAAUUUUACAUUUCUGAAAAUGACUUACAUGUUAGAGAAUGUCUUUGAAUAAC